AGAAAGGCCCGCAAGGGUCGCCAGAGGACGGGUCCGCGUCCCAUCAGCUAGUUGGUGAGGUAAUGGCUCACCAAGGCGAAGACGGGUAGCUGGUCUGAGAGGAUGAUCAGCCACACUGGAACUGAGACACGGUCCAGACUCCUACGGGAGGCAGCAGUGGGGAAUAUUGCGCAAUGGGCGAAAGCCUGACGCAGCCACGCCGCGUGAGCGAUGAAGGUCUUCGGAUCGUAAAGCUCUGUGGGGGAGAAGAAGAAAGUCGGUGAAGAGCCGGCCCUGACGGUAUCCCCUUAGCAAGCACCGGCUAACUCCGUGCCAGCAGCCGCGGUAAUACGGAGGGUGCAAACGUUGCUCGGAAUCAUUGGGCGUAAAGCGCGCGUAGGCGGCUGAACAAGUUGGAUGUGAAAGCCCUGGGCUCAACCUAGGAUGUGCAUUCAAAACUGUUCGGCUUGAGUCUCGGAGGGGGUCAGAGAAUUCUCGGUGUAGAGGUGAAAUUCGUAGAUAUCGGGAGG
rnacentral:rRNA from 1 species